rnacentral:tRNA from 1 species
GGCAGUUUAGCUUUAAGGUAAAGCACUUGACACAUAAUCACGGGAUGUGAGUUCGAGUCUCAUGGCUGGCU